rnacentral:rRNA from 1 species
AAUGGGCGAAAGCCCGACGGAGCAACGCCGCGUGAGGGAUGAAGGCCUCUGGGCUGUAAACCUCUUUUAUCAAGGAAGAAGAUCUGACGGUACUUGAUGAAUAAGUCACGGCUAAUUCCGUGCCAGCAGCCGCGGUAAUACGGGAGUGGCAAGCGUUAUCCGGAAUUAUUGGGCGUAAAGCGUCCGCAGGCGGCCCUUCAAGUCUGCUGUUAAAAAGUGGAGCUUAACUCCAUCAUGGCAGUGGAAACUGUUGGGCUUGAGUGUGGUAGGGGCAGAGGGAAUUCCCGGUGUAGCGGUGAAAUGCGUAGAUAUCGGGAAGAACACCAGUGGCGAAGGCGCUCUGCUGGGCCAUCACUGACGCUCAUGGACGAAAGCCAGGGGAGCGAAAGGGAUU